rnacentral:sRNA from 2 species
GUCCUGACCGCAGCCGUGCAAUAAUGGGCCCAUAUCCCAUUGGUGAUCCAUUUCUUGGCUCCGUUGACGAUAUACUUGUUCCCGCUGCGUUUCGCGGUGGUUCUAAUGUUCGCGACGUCGGAUCCGGCUAAAAUGCUUUUAUGUCAGAGUUCUCCCAAAUAUGUCGAAAGGCGUCCGCAUACCGUCGGGCUCAGUAAUGCCCAGACAGAACCGUAUCUCUCCCCGAGAAACCUUGGGCGAAUACUUGAGUUUCUGCGCCUCGUUACCGAAGUUCAGAAUGGGAGGACAGCCAAUAGUAUUUCCACCAAACAGACCCCACAGCACUCCAGUAUAGCCAACUCUGGUUACCCAUAAGUCUUUCGUCAGUGAAUUGUUUCGACGCAAAGGGUUUCGAAAGCAGCGAUAUAAAGGAAAACUCAAAAUUAGUGAAACUACUAGCCUAUUCAACUCAUCUGUCGUCACAAGAUUAUGAAAGACAUCCCAGUCCUCAGGGUCAAUGCCAGCGGGUAGAGACAGUCCGCCCAUAUACUCCCUCUUGGUAGGCUUGGUGAUCGCGAACCCCUUUUCCACAUAGAGCUUUAGCGCCUAGUUACAGAUGUGGUGUCAAUAGCACCGUCGGAGAUUAGUGAACCGCAGUGCGAAAUAAAAUGGCAGAAAGGAAAACGGAAUUGCCUUUAUAUAUUUCGUUUAUGUGUAUGAAAAAAAAAUCUAACCUCUGGCGGAAUAAAGCCUUGCUUUUCAUACUCUUCGGCAUGCGGCUUUAAAUGGUUUUCGACGUAGUCACGGACGAACAGGCGGAGUUUCUUGUGAGAUUCGUUGUAGUAUGGGGAGGAGUCGCAGGAGUGCCAGAGCGGUUCUGCGUAGGGCGCGACAGCGGAUGCAUGGAAGACGGGUGUCAUUGUCUGUAUUUAGUGGAGCUCGAUGGUGGGGGGUAAACGAUGAUAAACCAUGUACAGGGAGAGAAAUGGUUUGCUGAAAGAAUGAGCAUGCUCAACGCCUUCAGGACUCCCUCAAUGCAUGAUCCUGCCUUUGAUAAGCUCCAACGAACUACCCGGAUUAAUUAACGGAUACCUAGGUGUUGAAAGCCCCCGUCUUUGGCGGAGGUGAGGGGGAGGGUUUACUGUGAUUGCGGUCCAAGGUCGAAUUGUGGAGACAUUCGACUGCCGAUGAUGCUGGCUUUCUUUGGCCGAGAUCCGAUGCGGGCAACGAGACGGAGAGUUCCGAUAUUUACAUCACAUCAAAUAAUGAGCAGAACUGAAUAUGCCCGGAAGUCACCCUCAAGCCGGAAGAAAGUUCACACAUUUAAAAUACUGGACAUGAUGUUGCAAUAAAUUAAAAGAAUGGUAGUAUAUACACGGAGG